GUGUCAGCAGCCGCGGUAAUACAGAGGUCUCAAGCGUUGUUCGGAUUUAUUGGGCGUAAAGGGUGCGUAGGCGGCAGAGUAAGUUAGGCGUGAAAUGCUAAAGCUCAACUUUGGCACUGCGCUUGAUACUGCUUUGCUCGAGUGCUAGAGAAGAAGCUGGAAUUUACGGUGUAGCAGUGAAAUGCGUAGAUAUCGUAAGGAACGCCAGUGGCGAAAGCGAGCUUCUAGAUAGUUACUGACGCUGAGGCACGAAAGCUGGGGGAGCAAACGGGAUUAGAAACCCCCGUAGUCC
rnacentral:rRNA from 1 species